GGCCGCCUGGCGAAAUGGCAUCGCGUCUGACUACGAUUUUCAUCCUGGAAUGAUAUUUGUAAUCAGGAGAUUGCAGGUUCGACCCCUGCGGUGGUCA